rnacentral:rRNA from 1 species
UUGCCUACGGGACGCAGCAGUGGGGAAUAUUGCACAAUGGGGGGAACCCUGAUGCAGCGACGCCGCGUGGGUGAAGGAGUACUUCGGUACGUAAAGCCCUAUCAGCAGGAAAGAAAAUGACAGUACCUGACUAAGAAGCCCCGGCUAACUACGUGCCAGCAGCCGCGGUAAUACGUAGGGGGCAAGCGUUAUCCGGACUUACUGGGUGUAAAGGGAGUGUAGACGGCUGCGCAAGUCAGAAGUGAAAGCCCGGGGCUCAAUCGCGGGACUGCUUUUGAAACUGUGUAGCUAGAGUGCAGGAGAGG